AUGCGAUAUCUGGAAAAUAGGAAUUUACCAGGAGGAAAUGUGGAUGAUAUCCUUAAAUUUAAUGAAAUAAUUAGCGGACUGUCUUUGUUAGAAAUUCCUAUCAAGGGCAGACAGUACAUGUGGUCCAACAUGCAGGAUCAACCUCUUUUGGAGCAGCUUGAUUGGUUCUUCUCCUCGCCAGAAUGGAUUUUAGCCUUCCCCAACACUAUGGUAAAACCCUUGGCUCGCCCAAUCUCCGAUCAUGUACCUUAUGUGAUGUCAAUUGACACUGCGAUCCCUAAAUGCAAACUAUUAAGAUUUGAAAUUUUUGGGCCAUCUCAUCCGGAUUUCAUGUCAACAGUGGAGAAAUCCUGGAAUACUCCUCUCAAAGCUUCUUCCUCUGCCACUAGACUUUCGGGGAAACUUAAAAGGCUUAGAUAUGCACUUAAAAAUGGAGUAAAUCAAUAUCUAAGCUAA
rnacentral:rRNA from 1 species